rnacentral:tRNA from 3 species
GGAGGCGUCGCAUAGUGGUUUAGUGCACCGGUCUUGAAAACCGGAGUCUCGCAAGGGACCGUGAGUUCGAAUCUCACCGCCUCCG